rnacentral:rRNA from 1 species
GACGAACGCUGGCGGCGUGCUUAACACAUGCAAGUCGAACGGACAGGCCCUGCUUUUGUGGGGUGCUCGAGUGGCGAACGGGUGAGUAACACGUGAGUAACCUGCCCUUGACUUUGGGAUAACUUCAGGAAACUGGGGCUAAUACCGGAUAGGAGCUCCUGCUGCAUGGUGGGGGUUGGAAAGUUUCGGCGGUUGGGGAUGGACUCGCGGCUUAUCAGCUUGUUGGUGGGGUAGUGGCUUACCAAGGCUUUGAAGGGUAGCCGGCCUGGGAGGGUGACCGGCGACAUUGGUACUGAGAGACGGCCCAGACUCGUACGGGAGGCAGCAGUGGGGAAUAUGGCACAAUGGGCGGAAGCCUGAUGCAGCAGCGCCGCGUGCGGGAUGACGUCCUUCGGGUUGUAAACCGCUUUCGCCUGUGACGAAGCGUGAGUGACGGUAAUGGGUAAAGAAGCACCGGCUAACUACGUG